UACGUAGGGGGCUAGCGUUAUCCGGAAUUACUGGGCGUAAAGGGUGCGUAGGUGGUUUCUUAAGUCAGAGGUGAAAGGCUACGGCUCAACCGUAGUAAGCCUUUGAAACUGGGGAACUUGAGUGCAGGAGAGGAGAGUGGAAUUCCUAGUGUAGCGGUGAAAUGCGUAGAUAUUAGGAGGAACACCAGUUGCGAAGGCGGCUCUCAGGACUGUAACUGACACUGAGGCACGAAAGCGUGGGGAGCAAACAGG
rnacentral:rRNA from 1 species